CAGCGGCCUUCGCGGGCCUCUGUCCUGCCAGCAGACCAGGCCCCCUUGGCGCCAUCCUCAGAUGGAAGUCUGCGCCUCAUCUGUUCCUGCCCAAAAGCCUGUUCAAGCCUUGAAGAGCCGUCCUCGAUGCUGCUGGCGGAGCCUGAGGGAGACCCAGCGUCCCCGGGGUCAGGCCUGAAUCAGAGAGGCUGCCGCCCGAGACGGCUGCGGCAGUUCCCUGGCACUUGUGGACAUUGGUAGGCGUGGUCCUCUUCUUCUUCGGCAGCUUCCGGAAGACUACCCCUCGGGACUCAGUUGCUGUUCCAGAGGAGCAGAAGGGCUCGUUCUUUGACCGCACACAAGGACUAGAAAGCAGAAGCUUAGAGAAACUCCAAGAAUCCCUCUGUGCUCUGUUGCAGCCUGUCCAAGGUUCUGACACCUCAUGCGUCGUGGAGUUCUUUGUUGGAACAUGUGCUGAGCACUGGUGCUAAGCCUUCGAACAAGAAGAUGAGCAGCCAAGAGCAACACCUGCAGGAAGGGCCGGGCUGCUGGUGUUGGAGGAGUGGCAGUGGAUUCAACAGGACCCUCAGGUUUGUCCCUCCUCGCCUGGUGAGUCUUCUUGAAAUGUUUGUGCGUAUCAUAUGACAGCCCUGGC